UACAGGGGGUGCAAACGUUGCUCGGAAUCAUUGGGCGUAAAGCGCACGUAGGCGGUUCGUUAUGUCGGAUGUGAAAGCCCUUGGCUUAACCGAGGAAGUGCAUCCGAAACUGGCGAGCUAGAGUACUAAAGAGGAUCGCGGAAUUCCCGGUGUAGAGAUGAAAUUCGUAGAUAUCGGGAGGAACACCGGUGGCGAAGGCGGCGAUCUGGGUAGAUACUGACGCUGAGGUGCGAAAGCGUGGGGAGCAAACAGG
rnacentral:rRNA from 1 species